rfam:Acidovorax sp. KKS102, complete genome.
GCAACCUCAAGCUGGCGCACGAGAACAUCGUGGUGUUCCGCUCGCUGCUGGGCAUCAGCUGGAUGUGGUUCUUCGGCGCGGUGUUUCUGAGCCAGUUCCCCAGCCUGGCCAAGAACGUGCUG